UUGGUGUGCUCUGGUCAAAGGAAAAACACAGGGGGCGAACAAGCUUAUCCAUUGGAACCCUAGUUCCUGCAAUUCCAUCAAAUUGCGAAGGGAAAUCAGUUCCAAAUCAAAAUCCAAACUCGAAUUAGUGAUCACCUUCGCGAAAGGAUCAUAAGGCACGGUGGUUGAAUCUUCAAGCGGUCAAGUCGGAGCGGACGCGCGCUUGAAGGAUAUGCUUUGAAAGGUGAUGUUGGUCUCGCUCCGGAUGGCGAUCAAGCAUGAAUUCAAGAACCGAACACAUCGUUUUGAAGCUUCCGCAUUAAUCUAAAUUCUUGUAGACAAUGUUUAUUUUGUAAACACUUAACUUAAUGUCCCUCAUGUUUAAACUAGUUAGUUAGAUAGUUAACUGAGAUACUAUCGUUAUGAAA